rnacentral:rRNA from 1 species
UACGUAGGGAGCAAGCGUUGUCCGGAAUCAUUGGGCGUAAAGCGCGCGUAGGUGGCUUCGUAAGUCCGUUGUGAAAGUCAAAGGCUCAACCUUUGAAAGCCGAUGGAUACUGUGGAGCUAGAGUACGGAAGAGGCGAGUGGAAUUCCUGGUGUAGCGGUGGAAUGCGCAGAUAUCAGGAGGAGCACCAAUAGCGAAGGCAGCUCGCUGGGACGUUACUGACACUGAGGCGCGAAAGCGUGGGGAGCGAACAGG